UGUCGCCCAGGCUGGAGUGCAGUGGCGCGAUCUCGGCUCAGUGCAAGCUCCGCCUCCCGGGUUCACGCCAUUCUCCUGCCUCAGCCUCCCGAGUAGCUGGGGCUACAGGCGCCCGCCACCAUGCCCGGCUAAUGUUUUGUAUUUUUAGUAGAGAUGGGGUUUCACCGUGUUAGCCAGGAUGGUCUCGAUCUCCUGACCUCGU
rnacentral:lncRNA from 1 species